GGGGGCGACCGGCAUUCGACGGGAUAUGAGAGGUGUUUAACCGCAUGCGGAGGAUAUCAGUUCCCUCCUUAAUCAUCUGGUAAAAACAAUAUAUGCCGAUUACGGCUAUAUGGCUGCAGCUUAACUGAUGUAGCCCGUUCCUUAAAAAAUUUGUCUAUGGUUUUUUAAUGGAGCGUCAUAAACAUGGACUGGUUUCAAGUUUGUCUGUGAGUUUGAAAUAAGAUUAAACAGGCUGGCUCUUUUUUAUUAUGUCUCUGAUUGAAAAAAGAGUAAGACAAUAAUCGGAAGACUAAGCAUGUAGACGUUUAUCACUAAACUAUUUCGGACGGGAGUUCGAUUCUCCCCGCCUCCACUU
rfam:Flavobacteriaceae bacterium TMED238 MHASMcontig_291272, whole genome shotgun sequence.